AACCCCUAGUAAAGUGGCGUACGGGUGAGUAACACGUAGAUAAUCUACCCUAAAGUCUGGAAUAACCUGCCGAAAGGCGGGCUAAUACUGGAUAGAGCGACGGAAUCCGUAAUUGGGUUUUUCGGGAAAGGGAGGCUGUAAGGCCCUUCGCUUUAGGAUGAAUCUGCGUCCCAUCAGCUAGUUGGUAAGGUAACGGCUUACCAAGGCUAUGACGGGUAGCUGGUCUGAGAGGAUGAUCAGCCACACUGGAACUGAAACACGGUCCAGACUCCUACGGGAGGCAGCAGUGGGGAAUCUUGCGCAAUGGACGAAAGUCUGACGCAGCCACGCCGCGUGAGUGAAGAAGGCCUUCGGGUUGUAAAGCUCUGUCGGAGGGGACGAAAAAGGUUUGGGUUAACAGCCCAGAUCUCUGACGGUACCCUUAAAGGAAGCACCGGCUAACUCUGUGCCAGCAGCCGCGGUAA
rnacentral:rRNA from 1 species